rnacentral:rRNA from 2 species
GGGAAAAAAGCCAUCCUUUCCUGUUUUUAAAGACCUAGCAAUAGGUAUGCUUAGGGAGGAGCUUGCGUCACAUUAGUUAGAUGGGGGGGUAAAGGCCUACCAAGACUAUGAUGUGUAGCCGGGCUGAGAGGUUGAACGGCCACAUUGGGACUGAGACACGGCCCAAACUCCUACGGGAGGCAGCAGUAGGGAAUUUUCGGCAAUGGAGGAAACUCUGACCGAGCAACGCCGCGUGAACGAUGAAGUAUUUCGGUACGUAAAGUUCUUUUAUUAGGGAAGAAUAAAUGAUGGAAAAAUCAUUCUGACGGUACCUAAUGAAUAAGCCCCGGCUAACUAUGUGCCAGCAGCCGCGGUAAUACAUAGGGGGCAAGCGUUAUCCGGAAUUAUUGGGCGUAAAGGGUGCGUAGGCGGUUAAAUAAGUUUAUGGUCUAAUUUUUUUUGCUCAACAUUGUGAUGCUAUAAAAACUGUUUAGCUAGAGUAAGAUAGAGGCAAGUGGAAUUCCAUGUGUAGUGGUAAAAUGCGUAAAUAUAUGGAGGAACACCAGUAGCGAAGGCGGCUUGCUGGGUCUUUACUGACGCUGAGGCACGAAAGCGUGGGGAGCAAACAGGAUUAAAUACCCUGGUAGUCCACGCCGUAAACGAUGAGUACUAAACGUUGGGUAAAACCAGUGUUGAAGUUAACACAUUAAGUACUCCGCCUGAGUAGUACGUACGCAAGUAUGAAACUUAAAGGAAUUGACGGGACUCCGCACAAGCGGUGGAUCAUGUUGUUUAAUUCGAAGGUACCCGAAAAACCUCACCAGGUCUUGACAUGCUUCUGCAAAGCUGUAGAAACACAGUGGAGGUUAUCAGUUGCACAGGUGGUGCAUGGUUGUCGUCAGCUCGUGUCGUGAGAUGUUGGGUUAAGUCCCGCAACGAGCGCAACCCUUAUUGUUAGUUACCAGCACGUAAUGGUGGGGACUUUAGCAAGACUGCCAGUGAUAAAUUGGAGGAAGGUGGGGACGACGUCAAAUCAUCAUGCCCCUUAUGACCUGGGCUACAAACGUGAUACAAUGGCUGUUACAAAGGGUAGCUGAAGCGCAAGUUUUUGGCGAAUCUCAAAAAAACAGUCUCAGUUCGGAUUGAAGUCUGCAACUCGACUUCAUGAAGUUGGAAUCGCUAGUAAUCGCGAAUCAGCAUUCGCGGGAUUUUUUUCC